AUUGAACGCUGGCGGCAUGCCUUACACAUGCAAGUCGAACGGUAACAGAUCUUCGGAUGCUGACGAGUGGCGAACGGGUGAGUAAUACAUCGGAACGUGCCUAGUAGUGGGGGAUAACUACUCGAAAGAGUGGCUAAUACCGCAUGAGAUCUACGGAUGAAAGCAGGGGAUCGCAAGACCUUGUGCUACUAGAGCGGCCGAUGGCAGAUUAGGGAGUUGGUGGGAUAAAAGCUUACCAAGCCGACGAUCUGUAGCUGGUCUGAGAGGACGAUCAGCCACACUGGGACUGAGACACGGCCCAGACUCCUACGGGAGGCAGCAGUGGGGAAUUUUGGACAAUGGGCGCAAGCCUGAUCCAGCAAUGCCGCGUGCAGGAUGAAGGCCUUCGGGUUGUAAACUGCUUUUGUACGGAACGAAAAGCCCUGGGUUAAUACCCUGGGGUCAUGACGGUACCGUAAGAAUAAGCACCGGCUAACUUCGUGCCAGCCGCCGCCGUAAUAC
rnacentral:rRNA from 1 species